rnacentral:lncRNA from 1 species
UCCACUCUCCAAGUCCCACCUUGAGAAUUCAAUCCAUUAAAAAAAUUUUCAAAUUACAACACAUUGGAUUACAUCGAUCCCUACUAUCCAAGCAAGAAUACUUAUUUCUCAGGUAUAAGCCAACCCACAAACCCUUCGAUUACAGGUUUGGAUCAAUCUAUCUAAGUUUUGAAACCAUCCAAAACUCAAAGUACAAGAGCAAAUGAACAGAGUACAGAAUUUUCAGCACAAAAGAGCUCCUU